AAGGUCUGGAAGCUGAAUGUUCUAGAAGCUUCACGGAUGACACAUUUGGACACACGUGCUUGUGAACUUGCUGAGCUAGUGCAGAGGGUCUGCCUGUCUCCAUAUGGUCAGAGUUAGGUGAAAUGGACCCCAUCUGAAGGUUCCCGAAAAUCGUGAAAGAAGAAUAAGCUGAAGAGAGGCACCAUGGAGAGACAGCACACAGUCUUCCAGCAAGGGAAAGGGUGUUCAGAGAUCUCCUGAAGCCUAUCCAGGGGGCAGUCUCUCCCAGUACUAAGAACCCUAACUUCAGGCAACAGGAGCGAUUGUACUCCGGACCAGAAAGAGCCACAGUGCACAUCAGUGAUGUGGUCUUGACACUGAUGUUGGCACUUUGUAUCAGUAAGCAAGUGGAGUCCCGGAAGACUUACGGGACUAAAGGAGGAAUUUUGUUUGUAGAAUCCAUGGCAGAGAUUUCCAGGCCUCCAGGACCCUGAUGGAAAGAGGCUAACGACCCCUGCACUGGAGAACAUCGGGAGACACCAGGAUUCUGCUGUUUGCGAUUUGUGUCUGCUUCUCGUCAGCAUCGUCUCCGAGACGUGGUCCUCAUGUCCGGACGAUGAAUUAAGCACACGUGGGGGAUGCUUCCUCCUCAGUAUUCCUUCUGCCUUUGCAUUCAUUAAAAACAAAAAUGACCCUACCAAACAGCAGCUGCUCCUCCUUGCUCAACCUAAAGCACAUAAUGCCAGCAGUUUUGGAAACGGCAACAGGCUGGUCUGCGUAGAAAUCUCCAGAGCAUUGUAGGCUAAUACGUUAAAAUUAAAGAGAAACAGAAGCCAUCACUACAAAUUGCAACAUUAUUGUUCAAGCCAAGAUCGUCCUAAUUAUAAACUAGCAUUUUUAUAGAUGUCACAGGGGCUGUUUUAGUGCCGCUUUGCUGAUGCUAAAAAGAUAGUGUGGAAAUGUGAUCAGGGACUCUCAUACUACUGCCUAACUGGAGGGAAAAAAAAGUUAAUUAGGCUCUUUUUGGCAUAUUAGUGAAGACAGGCUUAUUAGACACAUUUACAAGCUAAUGAUAUGCCUAUACUCUGCUCUCACAAAAAUGCAUUUCAAUAAACUGAUUUACAGUUCA